CCUAAUCUGGGGGAUACCAAUCCAGGAGGAAAUUCACUAUCAGCAGUAUUAAUUCAGAGCUAAACUCCCCCGUUUACAACUCCUCACUUAAUCCCUACCCAAUGCAACUUCUACCUAGGAACUCCUAGAUAUGAGACCCCGUCUCACUCCCCUCAACCUUACAACUAGUAAGGAUUUCGAUAACAACAGAAUGGAGACACUCUCCUUGACAAAGAUGAAGACACACUUCAAUAACAUCACCACCUAGCCAACGACUAAGUUCACAAUUUGGAGUUGCUUAAAAGCUUCCUCCAAGUACAAUACUCAACUCAUUACCUACAGGUUUCUGAGUGAGAACAUAGUGACCAUCUCACAACCCGAGUGGUUCACUUUACACCAACUCUCCUAGAGAGUGGCUUAAAGACACGAAACCCU
rnacentral:lncRNA from 1 species